rnacentral:rRNA from 1 species
CAGGGACAACUUCCGUUACCCCUACUGUGUUACGACUUAUCUCCUUUUUCAACGAGAGUGACGGGCGAUUUGUGCACCAUAAAAAGUAGAUUCAACCUAUAUUCCGAUAGUAAAAGUUACUUUCAAGUCCAGCUUCAUGAAAUAAUUUAAUUCUCAAUUUGAAUAAAGUUUUUAUUGUAACUCACCUUACGUCUUAACCAUUGGCUGCACCAUGACCUGUCUUUUUGCUUUAAGCUUUUCGGCACCACCCUAAGCGGGACCUGAAAACGGCGGUAUACAAACUAUUAGGUUAAGCAAUAUGUCUUGCGGAUUAUCUAUUAUCUGGUAAGUUCCCCUGAAGUUUUUGAUGGCCGCCAUGCUCUUUAAGUUUUAAUCCAAAGAUUUUAGUGCUUAGAUUGAUUUUUUGUGCUCAUGUAUAGUAGGGUAUCUAAUCCUAGUUUACUGCUAGAGUUUACUUAAAAGUAUUUACCAAAUUCGGGAAUUAUGAAAAUUUAUAUUUCACUAGUAAAUUUUCCAGUGGAUGGUAUUAAAAGAAUCUAUGAUAAUUUACUUUGUGGCCAGGUAUGACCGCGGCUGCUGGCACCUGAGUAAGCCCCACAAAGUCCCUCAACUGAAUUUUCAUUGCUAAAAUUGUUCAAAAUUUCUUGCUGGUCUUUGCAGAGCUGCCAUACCAUAGUAAGGGGAACGUAAAUUUUCCAUUAGAGCAAAAUGA